GCCUUGGUGGCGGAAUUGGUAUACGCGCAUGCUUCAGGAGCAUGUUCUCGCAAGGGAUUGGGAGUUCGAGUCUCCCCCAAGGCA
rnacentral:tRNA from 4 species